rnacentral:tRNA from 1 species
GAAGGUAUAGCUCAGUCGUAGAGUACGUGUUUAGUUAGCACGCAUGAGGUCCUGGGUUCAAUCCCUAGUACUUCCA